UACGGAGGGUGCAAGCGUUAUCCGGAUUCACUGGGUUUAAAGGGUGCGUAGGUGGGACAGUAAGUCAGUGGUGAAAUCUCCGGGCUUAACUCGGAAACUGCCGUUGAUACUAUUGUUCUUGAAUAUCGUGUAGGUAAGCGGAAUAUGUCAUGUAGCGGUGAAAUGCUUAGAUAUGACAUAGAACACCAAUUGCGAAGGCAGCUUACUUUACGAUCAUUGACACUGAGGCACGAAAGCGUGGGGAGCAAACAGG
rnacentral:rRNA from 1 species